GAUGAAGAACGCAGCGAAAUGCGAUACGUAAUGUGAAUUGCAGAAUUCAGUGAAUCAUCGAAUCUUUGAACGCAUAUUGCGCUCUCUGGUAUUCCGGAGAGCAUGCUUGUUUGAGUAUCAGUAAACACCUCAACUUCCAUAUCUUUUUUGAAAUGGGAGUUGGACUUGAGUGAUCCCAACGCUUUUCCUCACCGAAAAGUGGCGGGUUACUUGAAAUGCAGGUGCAGCUGGACUUUUCUCUGAACUAUAAGCAUAUCUAUUUAGUCUGCCUAAAAAACAGAUUAUUACCUUUGCUGCAGCUAACAUAAAGGAGAUUAGUUCUUGUGCUGACUGAUGCAGGAUUCACAAAGACAGGCUUCGGCCGACUUUGUAAACUCGAUCUCAAAUCAAGUAAGACUACCCGCUGAACUUAAGCAUAUCAAUAAGCGGAGGA
rnacentral:misc_RNA from 1 species